GCUUAAAUAGUUUAAUAUAAAAAAUUUUGAUUUGUGGUAUCAUAGAUGUAUAAAUUACUUUAGGUU
rnacentral:tRNA from 1 species